rnacentral:rRNA from 1 species
UACGAAGGGGGCUAGCGUUGUUCGGAAUUACUGGGCGUAAAGCGCACGUAGGCGGAUUGUUAAGUGAGGGGUGAAAUCCCAGGGCUCAACCCUGGAACUGCCUCUCAUACUGGCAAUCUCGAGUUCGAGAGAGGUGAGUGGAAUUGACGAGUGUAGAGGUGAAAUUCGUAGAUAUUCGCAGGAACACCAGUGGCGAAGGCGGCUCACUGGCUCGAUACUGACGCUGAGGUGCGAAAGCGUGGGGAGCAAACAGG